rnacentral:hammerhead_ribozyme from 1 species
AUCCAGUUGAUGAGUUCGAAAUAGGACGGAACGCUUGUCCAACUGGAU